rnacentral:rRNA from 1 species
GAUGAACGCUGGCGGCGUGCCUAAUACAUGCAAGUCGAGCGAACAGAUGAGGAGCUUGCUCCUCUGACGUUAGCGGCGGACGGGUGAGUAACACGUGGAUAAUCUCCCUAUAAGACUGGGAUAACUUCGGGACACCGGAGCUAAUACCGUAUAAUAUAUUGAACCGCAUGGUUCUAUAGUGAAAGACGGUUUUGCUGUCACUUAUAGAUGGAUCCGCGCCGCAUUAGCUAGUUGGUAAGGUAACGGCUUACCAAGGCAACGAUGCGUAGCCGACCUGAGAGGGUGGUCGGCCGCACUAGAACGGAGACGCGGUCAAGACGCCUACGGGAGGCAGCAGUAGGGAAUCUUACGCAAUGGGCGGAAGCUUGACGGAGCAGCGCCGCGUGAGUGGUGAAGGUCUUCGGAUCGUAAAACUCUGUUAUUAGGGAAGAACAAAUGUGUAAGUAACUAUGCACGGCUUGACGGUACCUAAUCAGAAAGCCACGGCUAACUACGUG